rnacentral:rRNA from 1 species
GACGAACGCUGGCGGCGUGCCUAAUACAUGCAAGUCGAGCGAACCAAUAAGAAGCUUGCUUUUUGUUGGGUAGCGGCGGACGGGUGAGUAACACGUGGGUAACCUGCCUGUAAGACCGGGAUAACUCCGGGAAACCGGUGCUAAUACCGGAUAGAUCAUCUUUCCGCAUGGAGAGAUAAGGAAAGAUGGCUAUUGCCAUCACUUACAGAUGGGCCCGCGGCGCAUUAGCUAGUUGGUGAGGUAACGGCUCACCAAGGCGACGAUGCGUAGCCGACCUGAGAGGGUGAUCGGCCACACUGGGACUGAGACACGGCCCAGACUCCUACGGGAGGCAGCAGUAGGGAAUCUUCCGCAAUGGACGAAAGUCUGACGGAGCAACGCCGCGUGAGCGAAGAAGGUCUUCGGGUCGUAAAGCUCUGUUGUUAGGGAAGAACAAGUAUCGGAGGAAAUGCCGGUACCUUGACGGUACCUGACGAGAAAGCCACGGCUAACUACGUG